GCCAGGUACAGUGGUGCAUGCCUGUAAUCCCAGCGGGUCAGGAGGCUGAGGCAGGAGGAUUGUGAGUUCAAAGCCAGCCUCAGCAACAGUGUGGUGAUAAGCAACUCAGUGAGAGCCUGCCUCUA
rnacentral:sRNA from 1 species